AUUACGGGGUGCAGCAGGCGCGAAACCUUUACGAUGCACGAAAGUGUGAUAAGGGAAUUCUAAGUGCACUUGUACCACAAGUGCUUUUCAGGAGUGUAAAUUACUUCUGGAAUAAGGGGUGGGUAAGACUAGUGCCAGCCGCCGCGGUAACACUGGCACCUCAAGUGGCAGUCGUUUUUAUUGGGCUUAAAGCGUUUGUAGCCGGCUUAGUGUGUUCCUGGUGAAAUCUGUCUGCUUAACAGAUAGGCUUGCUGGGAGUACUGCUAGGCUUGAGGACGGGAGAGGCUAGAGGAACUUCUUGGGUAGGGGUGAAAUCCUAUAAUCCUCGAAGGACCAACAGUGGCGAAAGCGUCUAGCAUGCACGUGCCUGACGGUGAGAAACGAAAGCUAGGGUAGCGAAACGGAUUAGAUACCCGUGUAGUCCUAGCCGUAAACGAUGUGGACUAGGUGGAGUGUGACUCUAGUGGUCAUGCUAUGCCGAAGAGAAAUCGUUAAGUCUACCGCCUGGGGAGUACGUCCGCAAGAAUGAAACUUAAAGGAAUUGGCGGGGGAGCACAAU
rnacentral:rRNA from 1 species